CCUACGGGAGGCAGCAGUGGGGAAUAUUGGGCAAUGGGCGCAAGCCUGACCCAGCAACGCCGCGUGAAGGAAGAAGGCUUUCGGGUUGUAAACUUCUUUUCUCAGGGACGAAGCAAGUGACGGUACCUGAGGACUAAGCCACGGCUAACUACGGGCCAGCAGCCGCUGUAAUCCGGAGGUGGCAGUCGUUAUCCGGAUUUACUGGGUGUAAGGGUCGUGUAGGCGGGGAGGCAAAGCAGAUGGGAAAACCAUGGGCUCAACCCGUGGCCUGCAGUUGAAACUGUGUUUCUUGAGUACUGGAGAGGCAGACGGAAUUCCUAGUGUAGCGGUGAAAUGCGUAGAUAUUAGGAGGAACACCAGUGGCGAAGGCGGUCUGCUGGACAGCAACUGACGCUGAGGCGCGAAAGCGUGGGGAGCAAACAGGAUUAGAUACUCCUGUAGUC
rnacentral:rRNA from 1 species